rnacentral:rRNA from 1 species
GGUUAAGCGACUAAGCGUACACGGUGGAUGCCCUGGCAGUCAGAGGCGAUGAAGGACGUGCUAAUCUGCGAUAAGCGUCGGUGAGGUGAUAUGAACCGUUAUAACCGGCGAUUUCCGAAUGGGGAAACCCAGUGUGUUUCGACACACUAUCAUUAACUGAAUCCAUAGGUUAAUGAGGCGAACCGGGGGAACUGAAACAUCUAAGUACCCCGAGGAAAAGAAAUCAACCGAGAUUCCCCCAGUAGCGGCGAGCGAACGGGGAGGAGCCCAGAGCCUGAAUCAGUGUGUGUGUUAGUGGAAGCGUCUGGAAAGGCGCGCGAUACAGGGUGACAGCCCCGUACACAAAAAUGCACAUAUUGUGAGCUCGAUGAGUAGGGCGGGACACGUGGUAUCCUGUCUGAAUAUGGGGGGACCAUCCUCCAAGGCUAAAUACUCCUGACUGACCGAUAGUGAACCAGUACCGUGAGGGAAAGGCGAAAAGAACCCCGGCGAGGGGAGUGAAAAAGAACCUGAAACCGUGUACGUACAAGCAGUGGGAGCCUCUUAAUGGGGUGACUGCGUACCUUUUGUAUAAUGGGUCAGCGACUUAUAUUCUGUAGCAAGGUUAACCGAAUAGGGGAGCCGAAGGGAAACCGAGUCUUAACUGGGCGUUAAGUUGCAGGGUAUAGACCCGAAACCCGGUGAUCUAGCCAUGGGCAGGUUGAAGGUUGGGUAACACUAACUGGAGGACCGAACCGACUAAUGUUGAAAAAUUAGCGGAUGACUUGUGGCUGGGGGUGAAAGGCCAAUCAAACCGGGAGAUAGCUGGUUCUCCCCGAAAGCUAUUUAGGUAGCGCCUCGUGAAUUCAUCUCCGGGGGUAGAGCACUGUUUCGGCAAGGGGGUCAUCCCGACUUACCAACCCGAUGCAAACUGCGAAUACCGGAGAAUGUUAUCACGGGAGACACACGGCGGGUGCUAACGUCCGUCGUGAAGAGGGAAACAACCCAGACCGCCAGCUAAGGUCCCAAAGUCAUGGUUAAGUGGGAAACGAUGUGGGAAGGCCCAGACAGCCAGGAUGUUGGCUUAGAAGCAGCCAUCAUUUAAAGAAAGCGUAAUAGCUCACUGGUCGAGUCGGCCUGCGCGGAAGAUGUAACGGGGCUAAACCAUGCACCGAAGCUGCGGCAGCGACACUAUGUGUUGUUGGGUAGGGGAGCGUUCUGUAAGCCUGUGAAGGUGGCCUGUGAGGGUUGCUGG